UACGAAGGGGGCUAGCGUUGUUCGGAAUCACUGGGCGUAAAGCGCACGUAGGCGGAUCUUUAAGUCAGGGGUGAAAUCCCGAGGCUCAACCUCGGAACUGCCUUUGAUACUGGGGAUCUCGAGUCCGGGAGAAGUGAGUGGAACUGCGAGUGUAGAGGUGAAAUUCGUAGAUAUUCGGAAGAACACCAGUGGCGAAGGCGACUUACUGGACACAUAUUGACGCUGAGGUGCGCAAGCGUGGGGAGCAAACAGG
rnacentral:rRNA from 1 species